CAACCCUCAGGCCCCUCCGGGCGGCCUGGUGUUGGGGACCGGCGGACGGGGGGAGAGGGCCCUGCCUUCCCCCCGCCGAGCCCGCCGCCCCCGAAAUGAAUUGGCGGUCUCGUCGCGGCCUCCUCUGCGUAGUAGCACAACCUCGCAACAGGAGCGCGGCGCGGCCACUGCCGUAAAACGCACCAACUUUUAAGAG
rnacentral:misc_RNA from 1 species